rnacentral:lncRNA from 1 species
GUUGGCCCCAGAUGACUUUCAAAAUGUAUACAUCAUUGAAAAACUUCCAAAUUAUCUCCCUUUGGUGGAAAAAUGCCAUUUUUUUGGCUUUAAAAUUGAAUUAUCUUUUUCAACUCAUCGGUGACGUAUCUUUUUUAAUAUAAUUUCCAUAUAAGCUGUACUUAAACUAAAUUAUUGUAAAAUUUUAGCGAUUUCUGUAAUAAAUUUCUUUUUUUUAUUUCGAUAUUACUUUAUUUCUCCUAUUACUUCAACAGAAAAAACCACCUUUACAAAAAUGUAUGCUUCUUUCGAAGGCAGAUUGUGAGCGCAAAUGAACGGUGACCC